rnacentral:rRNA from 1 species
UAGGGAAUCUUCCACAAUGGGCGAAAGCCUGAUGGAGCAACGCCGCGUGUGUGAUGAAGGGUUUCGGCUCGUAAAACACUGUUGUAAGAGAAGAAUGACAUUGAGAGUAACUGUUCAAUGUGUGACGGUAUCUUACCCGAAAGGAACGGCUAAAUACGUGCCAA